rnacentral:rRNA from 1 species
AUUGAACGCUGGCGGAAUGCUUUACACAUGCAAGUCGAACGGUAGAGGGGGCAACCCCUCGAGAGUGGCGAACGGGUGAGUAAUAUAUCGGAACGUGCCCAGUCGUGGGGGAUAACGUAGCGAAAGUUACGCUAAUACCGCAUACGAUCUAAGGAUGAAAGCGGGGGACCGUAAGGCCUCGCGCGAUUGGAGCGGCCGAUAUCAGAUUAGGUAGUUGGUGAGGUAAAGGCUCACCAAGCCAACGAUCUGUAGCUGGUCUGAGAGGACGACCAGCCACACUGGAACUGAGACACGGUCCAGACUCCUACGGGAGGCAGCAGUGGGGAAUUUUGGACAAUGGACGCAAGUCUGAUCCAGCCAUUCCGCGUGCAGGAUGAAGGCCCUCGGGUUGUAAACUGCUUUUGUACGGAACGAAAAGGUCUCUCCUAAUACGAGGGGCUCAUGACGGUACCGUAAGAAUAAGCACCGGCUAACUACGUGCCAGCAGCCGCCGUAAUAC